rnacentral:misc_RNA from 1 species
CCUUACCUUAAAGAACCGACCUUUGCAGUGCUCAGACAGAUUGUCUGAUGAAUGAUGAACUUCUGAAUGUACUUUCGAGUGCAUUAAGAAGUUUUGCUCUUUAACAAUCUGGAUCAAGCUGAGAAUUGAAACGACACACUGUUUCAUUUCUCCGUAAUAAGAAAUGAAAAAUGGUGUGUUCGAGUCUCUCAAAUUUUUGCAACUCGAUGAUGAAUCGAAAGAAACAUCUUCGGGUUGUGA